UCGAGGAUCUUCGGCAAUGGGCGCAAGCCUGACCGAGCGACGCCGCGUGCGCGAUGAAGGCCUUCGGGUUGUAAAGCGCUGUCGAGGGGGAGGAAAGCCGCAAGGCAUGACCUAUCCCUGGAGGAAGGACGGGCUAAGUUCGUGCCAGCAGCCGCGGUAAGACGAACCGUCCUAACGUUGUUCGGAAUCACUGGGCUUAAAGGGCGCGUAGGCGGAACUGUUAGUCCGGGGUGAAAUCUUUCGGCUCAACCGGAAAAGGGCCUCGGAAACGGCAGUUCUCGGGGAAGGUAGGGGCAGGCGGAACUUCCGGUGGAGCGGUGAAAUGCGUUGAUAUCGGAAGGAACGCCGGCGGCGAAAGCGGCCUGCUGGACCUUUGCCGACGCUGAGGCGCGAAAGCCAGGGGAGCGAACGGGAUUAGAUACCCCGGUAGUCC
rnacentral:rRNA from 1 species